AAUAGAUACCCGGGUAGUCCACGCCGUAAACGUUGGGUACUAGGUGUGGGACCUUAUCAACGGGUUCCGUGCCGCAGCUAACGCAUUAAGUACCCCGCCUGGGGAGUACGGCCGCAAGGCUAAAACUCAAAGGAAUUGGCGGGGGCCCGCACAAGCGGCGGAGCAUGUGGCUUAAUUCGAGGCAACGCGAAGAACCUUACCUGGGCUUGACAUGUACCGAAAAGCCGUAGAGAUACGGUGUCCUUCGGGGCGGUACACAGGUGGUGCAUGGUUGUCGUCAGCUCGUGUCGUGAGAUGUUGGGUUAAGUCCCGCAACGAGCGCAACCCUUGUCCUAUGUUGCCAGCGCGUAAUGGCGGGGACUCGUAGGAGACUGCCGGGGUCAACUCGGAGGAAGGUGGGGAUGACGUCAAAUCAUCAUGCCCCUUACGUCCAGGGGCUGCACACAUGCUACAAUGGCCGGUACAAAGGGCUGCUAUUCCGCGAGGAUGAGCGAAUCCCAAAAGCCGGUCUCAGUUCGGAUUGGAGUCUGCAACUCGACUCCAUGAAGUCGG
rnacentral:rRNA from 1 species